AUGAAAAAAAUCCAAAAGGGUUUCUAUUUAAUGAUGAAAUUAAAAUGGAUAAAUGGAAAAGGCUUUUUGGAUUUUUUAAAAAUUUCUAGAAUGAAAGUCUUUAUGCUCUUAUUAAUAAGAUUUACUAACCUUAUGAUUUUGGAGAAGAUAGGUGGAAGUUGUAAGUCCUAUUGUAAGAAUACUCCACUUUUCAUAAUUUUCAUAAUAGAAUAUGAGGAUUCUAUUAUGAAAAUUAUGAAAAGUUCAUUGAUAGGAAAAGAAUACUUAGCAUACAGUAUACCAAACAAAACUUUUUUUCUUGUAUAUAUAAGAUAA
rnacentral:rRNA from 1 species